CUUGCCGUGAGACCCUCUUCCCGCCUGCCACCAAAGUCACAGAAAACUUUCACACCUCUCAUCUGACACUAUGGCCUGUGCACGACGCCAAGCACUGGAGAAGCCUUCGACAUCAGAAUAUUAGCGGCACUUGUUCUGGGGGCGGGCAGGGGCGUCCCGGUGUUUAUCAAACGGGUUGAUUUUCCACGGAGGGGGUAGUUCUGGAGAGAGAAAAGUUAACUAUCAAAAUAUCCAUAGCUUUGACAUAAUAGAUGAAGGGGAAAAGCUGCUGGCUUCACUACAGAAAUGAGAACUCUUCAUCAAUUUCAGCAAACAAUCCUUGGGUACUUACCAUGUAUCAGGCAAAAUAGACAAAGAUCCCC